ensembl:piRNA 21ur-400 ncRNA
UCGCAGUAGGAUAUUAAUAAA